rnacentral:rRNA from 1 species
CGACGGGUGAGUAUGUCUGGGAACUGCCCGAUGGAGGGGAGUAACUACUGGAAACGGUAGCUAAUACCGCAUAACGUCGCAAGACCAAAGAGGGGGACCUUCGGGCCUCUUGCCAUCGGAUGUGCCCAGAUGGGAUUAGCUAGUAGGUGGGGUAACGGCUCACCUAGGCGACGAUCCCUAGCUGGUCUGAGAGGAUGACCAGCCACACUGGAACUGAGACACGGUCCAG